UACGUAGGCAGCGAGCGUUGUUCGGAGUUACUGGGCGUAAAGAGUGCGUAGGCGGUUUUCUAAGUUUGGUGUGAAAUCUCCCGGCUUAACUGGGAGGGUGCGCCGAAGACUGGAAGGCUUGAGUAUGGGAGAGGUAAGCGGAAUUCCUGGUGUAGCGGUGAAAUGCGCAGAUAUCAGGAGGAACACCGAUGGCGAAGGCAGGUCUCUGGGCCACUACUGACGCUGAGAAGCGAAAGCAUGGGGAGCGAACAGG
rnacentral:rRNA from 1 species